rnacentral:rRNA from 1 species
AUUGAACGCUGGCGGCAUGCCUUACACAUGCAAGUCGAACGGCAGCACGGGGGCAACCCUGGUGGCGAGUGGCGAACGGGUGAGUAAUACAUCGGAACGUGCCCGGUAGUGGGGGAUAGCUCGGCGAAAGCCGGAUUAAUACCGCAUACGACCUACGGGUGAAAGCGGGGGACCGCAAGGCCUCGCGCUAUUGGAGCGGCCGAUGUCAGAUUAGGUUGUUGGUGGGGUAAAGGCCCACCAAGCCGACGAUCUGUAGCUGGUCUGAGAGGACGACCAGCCACACUGGGACUGAGACACGGCCCAGACUCCUACGGGAGGCAGCAGUGGGGAAUUUGGACAAUGGGCGCAAGCCUGAUCCAGCCAUGCCGCGUGCGGGAAGAAGG